UACGUAUGGGGCAAGCGUUAUCCGGAAUUAUUGGGCGUAAAGAGUGCGUAGGUGGUUACCUAAGCGCAAGGUUUAAUCUUGAGGCUCAACCUCAUUCUGCCUUGCGAACUGGGCUACUUGAGUGCUGGAGGGGAAAGCGGAAUUCCCAGUGUAGCGGUGAAAUGCGUAGAUAUUGGGAAGAACACCGGUGGCGAAGGCGGCUUUCUGGACAGUAACUGACACUGAGGCACGAAAGCGUGGGGAGCAAACAGG
rnacentral:rRNA from 1 species